rnacentral:lncRNA from 1 species
CAGAAUUGGAACCUAGCUGUCCGAUUCUAGAAGUCUUUUUUUUUUCUUAAGAUUUUAUUUAUUUAUUUGACACAGAGACAGCCAGUGAGAGAGGGAACAUAAGCAGGGGGAGUGGGAGAGGAAGAAGCAGGCUCCCAGCAGAGGACCCUGUUGUGGGGCUCGAUCCCAGAACACUGGGAUCACGCCCUGAGCCGAAGGCAGACGCUUAACGACUGAGCCACCCAAGCGCCCCUGAUUCUAGAAGUCUUGAUCUCAAAUGCUAGUCUCCGUGGCCUUUUGAAGUGGUCACUUGUCCCAGCACCGCGGGAGAUGCCAGCCCUGUGAAUGUUGCAGAUAGGUUGUGAGGUCUCAGCUUUGAGCAAGUGGGGUCUGGCGUUGCUUCCUCCUGGGGCUGGGCGCUGUAGUGUUCUUGUGUCUUUAGGUCUCUUCGUUGAGUGCCUGCUGUGGGCGUGGCGCUGUGCUGGGCACGGGGUUGUGGACACAAGUGUCCCCAAGGCCUUACCCUCAGGGAACUCCAGUCAGGGGAGGGGAGCAUGUUAAUGGCACGGACACAACCGCGUGAUGGAGUUCUAUGAUAGAGGGGAGCCGUGGGGUGAGAUGGGCUGUACGUCCUUCCCUCAGGUUGGGUGGGGUUUGGAAAAUGCCGUUUGAAAUGAAGAAGGAUGCAAAGGUUGUGCGGAGCACAGGGAAAGCUUGAGGAAAGGCCUAGGGCUGACCAGCCGGGAAUGGGGAGGGCAGCCUGCUUCUCGACUCCCUUGAAGAGUGUAAGCCAGCCCCUGAAAAUCCUGCGCAGCACUGCAGGGAAGAAGUUGUGCAGACUCUUCUCUGUCAUUGAUUUUUCAGAGGACACAGAUCUGGGAUUUGUGCAUGGUGACCAGUGAAGACCUCUGGCUCAACAGAGAAAACAUGGAGGCUUUGGUCCCCCGCCAUUCCCCAGAGAACCACAGAUGACUGCAGCCUCUGUCCCACUGUCACAACCUGUGACUCUGAGGUGCAAAUUUGGCCGUGCCGGAGAGGUAAUUUUAGGGGACGUUGGGCAUCCAGCGGAAGGGGGAAGCCUGAAAACAAAGAAAACUCCCCAAAGGCCAGGAGUGAGAGCUGCAUCGCCUUGUUCCCCAACUACACCCCUGCCUCAGACUUGUGUUUGCAAGGGAAGCUUGUGCGGUGUCACCUUGGGAAGUGCUCGUCUCUCUGAAGCAAUGUUUCGUGGCUUGGCUGUAAUUGUCCUGGGAAAUGGAAAUAAAUAAUCUAAAUAAAUUUAUAACUACUUU